AUGUGUGUAUCUUUGCAUGUGUUCUUGUGUGCGCGGGCGGCACGCUCCGGCGUCGUUCUGUGACGACGCCGACGACGCUGGCGGCAGUCGUGUUGCGAGCGCGUCGUCGACCGGUCGGGCACUACAAACCGGAAACGGAAGCAGCAAUCCCUCCGUCUACUAUCUCGUUCUCUCCACUUGUAUAAAUACACCAUUUAUUUUCCCACGCAUAUAAACUUCCACCCUCGUAAACGCGCCUAAAACAAGCAGAAAAAAGAAGAUAUCAAUCUAAAGCAUUAACACUAAAAAAAAAUAAUCAACAAAAGCGAGGGAGAGAGAGAUAGAGUGUACAAAAACAACUUAAGAAGAAAAACAAAAAAGAAACUAAUUAGUGCUCAUCAUCAGAAGUUGCGAUUGGAAAUUAAGUGAUAAUAAUAGUAAUAUUAUAAUAA